GUCUACGGGCAUGCUACUCUGAACAAGCCCGAUUCGGUCUGAUCGCGGAAGCUAAGCAGGGUCGGGCCUGGUUAGCACUUGGAUGGGAGACCACGUAGGAAAACCAGGUGCUGUAUGCA
rnacentral:rRNA from 1 species